ensembl:lncRNA
AUGUCAGACACACAUCCUCCCUCAGACCCCUUACUUUUCCAGAAGUUUGCUCUGGGAAUUCAGUCAAGGGGAGCUGAGACGCGUCAAAAGAAGGCCUCUCUGUGGAAGGAGGAUGUGUGUCCACCCACCAAGAAGGUUUUGAUGGUCAGUGUCUGCGUAUCCAGCUGCUGGGGUGAAGAGAUUUGGAAAUCACUGAACAUUCCUGUUGGGAGCUUUCCAAGCCCUUUUGGGAACCGGCAACAGCGCUUGUCUGGGGAAAUUAGUUUUGCACUUUCACAGAGUGAGAAAUUCCUCAGGGGCAUUCUUGUUCUUGGGAAGAGAAAUCAAACCCAGCGCAUUCCUUCAGGGCCCAAGCCCGUAGUAAAGCAUACCGAGUCCAGUUCGGGUGGUCCAGUUUGGGGCCUUGGGGUGGGGCAGGCGCAGCAGAGUUCUGCGAAUUUCACCUGUGACUAAGUCCCAACCCCCGCGCCUGGCGCGAGCUUGAGAUUUCAGGGGAUCGUGUUACCAGUGUGUAAACACCUUGAGUAAUGGCCAACGCUCCCAAGCGACCAUGGAGGAUCUCAAAGCCUUCCUAUCUUCCUAGAAACCUUGGCGGCCCGGCCGGCUGUUUGCUGUCUGAUGCAACAGUUUGCAACGCGGUUCUGGGAGCCGAGCCUGCCGCGGGGCGCUGGGCGUCCCGCUCACGCGCAUGCGCGGGCUGCGGCCCGCCGGGUCGGGCGGGGGAGAAGCUUUUCACCAGAUGUGCGGGGGGCAGGGCGGACGGGGAGACCUUUGGCAGCUCGCGCCGGCGAUCUGAGCUUAAUUAAACUUCUCCCGAGGCACUGGCUGACUGAUUGACCCAGUGAUCCAAAAAAAUCACAGAGGCCCGAAUCGCCCUAAACGAGGCGGGAGAGCGAAGUUGGGGAGUUGGCUUUCGUUUUUCAGAGCUGGCUGGGGUUUUGGAUUCGGCCUUCCUUCCCCGAGCCCCGCAAUCCACAAUGCUUUCGGGGUUCCAGAGUCCAGGAGGGCGUCAGGCCUCGUUUGUGUGGGCCCUCCCACCGAUUUCUCACAGAAGGAACAACAACGGUUGUAGAGGGGAAAAGAAGGGGAAGAGAGGCAGUUUUGAUAGCAUCUAGAUCGGUAUCUUUCUUGCUUCAUUUCUCCACCCUUGCGGUGUGCCUUAGAAGGUUUUAUAAGCAGAAACGAACAUGGCAUCGUGGAUAAUUUUCCAAGUUUUUGAGCCAUUUAGGUAUUCCUCUAUGAUUUUCUUCCAUACCCACAUUCUUCCUAUAUUAUAUAAAUUGACUUCUAUUAACUUUCCUUAUUUUUAAAAUUAUCUUUAAAAUCAAUUCCCUUUUUAACAUAGCCUUGUCCUAAGCAACAUUAGGAAAACCACAGCUUUGAUGUGCUAGUCAUAUAUGUUAAUACACUUGAAAAUAAACUCAUAACUAUUCAAAUUUAAAAAUGUGUU